AAGCUCAUGUGUGAGAUAUAAAAUGGCGAUUUCGGUUGUUCGAUUGUGCUUUGCUCAGUUAUUUAUAAUAAACCAUGUAUAUAAACUAUAAGCAUCGGCGUAUGAAACGAAGAAGCUUUCCACUUGUAAGUUUGUUAGAACAAAUGAGAAAUUAAACUGGCAUGAAAUUUUACAAAGAAAGGAAACGAAAUGAAUCAAAAGACGAUAUAUAAAAGCAUUUAUCCAAGAAAUUAUAGAGCUUUCCACCAAGUUGAAAGUUCCUUAGGACAAAUGAAAAACUAAACUGCCAUGUCAUUUUAUGAGGAAAUGAUAUGAAAUGAAUAAGAAAUGUAAAUAUAAAAGCAUUUAUCAAGAAAAAGCUUUCUACCAAGUUUUAAGUUCUUUAAGACAAAUGAGAAAUUAAACUGCCAUGUUAUUUUAUGAGGAAAGGAAAUGAAAUGAAUCAGAAACAAAAGCAUAAAAGCAUUGGACUAAGAUAUUAAAAGCUUUCCAUCCAGUUGUAAGUUUCUGAGAAUAAAUAAAUAAUUAAACUGGCAUACAAUGUUAUGAAAGAAGGAAAUGAAAUGAAUCAGAAACGCAAGUCUAAAAGGUAUUAGGAUUACUUAUUCGGAAACCAGUUAUUGAAUCGUACUUUCUUCAACCACUUGAACCAAUUGAUUGUAUCAAUCUACUAGCACACCAAAAUAAUUGGGAGAUCUCGGGUUCGACCUCUUAGAACACUAAUAAAAUCUAUAUUCAUUUUAAUAUUGACAUAAGCACGAGUUGCUGACCCAGUUGUGGGCUUUCAUAAGUAUUUAGUAUGUAAUUUGUAACAAUGUAAUUUAUUCCUUCAGAAAUAUAUAUCCACUUGUGUGUG